rnacentral:lncRNA from 1 species
AAGCAUCUUCUCGAUUGCAAGUUGUUUCAACUCUGGUACUUCAAUAUCGAGAAGAGUGUGAUAAUCUUUGUCAUCCUUGGAAAAGAUCAACUUAUUAUUAUUUGGAGAAAGUCAAGGAUCACCCUAUAGAUCUAAUUAAAGCUUCAAGAUAGAUUCAAAGAGAUAAAAAAAAAAUAGCUCUUCCAACCGUGGAUCGAGGGGAGUCCAGUGAUGAACUUAUGCCCUCCUCAGGGAGAUAAGUACCACCACCCUUUUCAUGGAGGUGUUUUUUCAAAGUGAACAUCACUCUAAAAAAGUGAGCACCUCAAAGGGAUACCGAGCCAAUUAUAAAGAAUGAUGAAAAUUACGACUACCCAAGUAGAGUUCAGAGCGAUCUAAAUAAGAAGAAAUCUAUAAAAAUUUAAAAUAUUACUUGCAAAUGGAUG